rnacentral:rRNA from 1 species
AACGAACGCUGGCGGCAUGCCUAACACAUGCAAGUCGAACGAGAUCUUCGGGUCUAGUGUCGCACGGGUGCGUAACGCGUGGGAGUCUGCCCUUUGGUUCGGAAUAACAGUUGGAAACGACUGCUAAUACCGGAUGAUGACGAAAGUCCAAAGAUUUAUCGCCAGAGGAUGAGCCCGCGUAGGAUUAGCUAGUUGGUGUGGUAAAGGCGCACCAAGGCGACGAUCCUUAGCUGGUCUGAGAGGAUGAUCAGCCACACUAGGACUGAGACACGGCCCAGACUCCUACGGGAGGCAGCAGUGGGGAAUAUUGGACAAUGGGCGAAAGCCUGAUCCAGCAAUGCCGCGUGAGUGAUGAAGGCCUUAGGGUUGUAAAGCUCUUUUACCCGGGAUGAUAAUGACAGUACCGGGAGAAUAAGCUCCGGCUAACUCCGUGCCAGCCGCCGCCGUAA